rnacentral:rRNA from 1 species
GACGAACGAUGGCGGCGUGCUUAACACAUGCAAGUCGAACGAAGUGGCGAACGGGUGAGUAACGCGUAAUCAACCUGCCCUUCUGAGGGGGACAACAGUUGGAAACGACUGCUAAUACCGCAUACUGAAGGAGGGGAUCGCGCCUGAUUAGCUAGUUGGAGGGGUAACGGCCCACCAAGGGGAUGAUCAGUAGCCGGACUGAGAGGAUGAACGGCACGAUUGGGACUGAGACACGGCCCAGACUCCUACGGGAGGCAGCAGUAGGGAAACUGCGACAAUGGACGAAAGUCUGACCGAGCAACGCCGCGUGAGUGAAGAAGGUUUUCGGACCGUAAAACUCUGUUGUUAGAGAAGCGGUAUCUAACCAGAAAGCCACGGCUAACUACGUGCCAGCAGCCGCGGUAAUAC